rnacentral:rRNA from 1 species
ACGGAAGGCAGCAGUGGGGAAUAUUGCACAAUGGGCGCAAGCCUGAUGCAGCCAUGCCGCGUGUAUGAAGAAGGCCUUCGGGUUGUAAAGUACUUUCAGUCGUGAGGAAGGUGUUAAGGUUAAUAACCUUAGCAAUUGACGUUAGCGACAGAAGAAGCACCGGCUAACUCCGUGCCAGCAGCCGCGGUAAUACGGAGGGUGCGAGCGUUAAUCGGAAUUACUGGGCGUAAAGGGCACGCAGGCGGUUAAUUAAGUUGGAUGUGAAAUCCCCGGGCUUAACCUGGGAAUGGCAUUCAAGACUGGUUAGCUAGAGUCUUGUAGAGGGGGUUAGAAUUCCAUGUGUAGCGGUGAAAUGCGUAGAGAUGUGGAGGAAUACCGGUGGCGAAGGCGGCCCCUGGACAAAGACUGACGCUCAUGUGCGAAAGCGUGGGGAGCAAACGAGGGAUUAGAUACCCGU